CCUUGUCUGCCCGCACAGUACUGGGAGCCGGUGGAGGAGGCCGAGUAGCAGCACGGCACGGUCGUCGGUGCCACCAAGCCCUACCGCAUCGAGCUCGUCGGCGAGGGCGACGGUGGAGGAGUCGGCAGGGAGGUGCCCGGUGGAGGAGGUGGCGCGGGGGCACGGGAAGCAGGGCAAAACGACGAGAAGCUCACAACGAACGCGAGGGCGCGCUCGGAAACCGCAGAGGAGGACCGCAGAGGGGAGCUCGUCGGCGACGGGCGGCGGCCGAGGUAGGUGGACGGCGCGGGGACGGCUCGGGGCGAGCGAGGCUUGGGGAAGAGCACCAAAGGGUUCU
rnacentral:lncRNA from 1 species